rnacentral:lncRNA from 1 species
GGGUGCAAAUGAGUUGAACUGUUCGUGAGUUAUUCGAGUUCGAUUUGAGUCUAAGUUUGAUUAGAUUUGAUUAUAAUCAAGCUUGAGUAGCUUGAAUGAUUGCUUGAGUAGAAAAAUAUGUGACUCAAAAAUUAUAUAUUUUUAAUCAUAUUCUUUUUAUUUAUAAUAUCUAUUUAUAUAUAUAUAUAUGAUAUUAAUAGGCAAAAUUUCGAACAUGAGUGCGAGUAUGUUUGGUUAAUAUUUAAAUCAAGUCAAUUUUGAGUAUUUCUGUUUUUCAUUAGCUAAACUCGAACUUCUAGCUAUUUGAUUAGGCUGGAUUCGAUUGCAUCCCUGUAAAGAAUUCAACCUAAUCAAAUGUGCAAUCUGCAACACCUGGCAACCCCAGCUUCAUAGUGAUGUCUAUGAUGUAGCAAUUUUUAAGGCCACAGUGGCUAUUCUUAGGCAUUUUGGAGAUAUUUUGGUGAUUGAUGCUGGUGGAUGCAUUCACACUAGGGCUUUGUGGUAGUUGUAAUUCACUUACCAACAAUUAAACAUGCCCUAUGAAGCAAAUAAAUAAACUAACUCUUGGCAAGGAGCUAGAUUUUUCUGUAUUAGCGAUAGGAGAACCACAUCUCAACUACUCCUUCCUCUUGGAUCAGCCACACGCAUUGCCCCGUUCUAUUGAAUCAGCAACAUCUGCCGCCUUCCAAUCUGAAACUCUACAACCUUCAAUCCAAAGGGAUCCAAGUGCUCCAGGAAAAUCUCUAUUUUCCGUUUUUUUGAUCUGAACUUUCCCAUCAAAAUGGACUUCCAAAGAUUAUGCACACCUUUUAACAUAGGGAGAUAGUUCUCGGGGAGAUCGGAAAGAUUAGAUAGACAAUUUAUGGGCUUCCAUGCGGACAUGAGCAGCUCACGUGGAUACAACAGCAUAUUUAGAAGAUCUCCAAAUACGGAUGAGAAUACCUUGGAGGAGGACCAAAUUCUAGAUUUUCUAAAAAUCUCUUUCUUUUGUACCAAGAAAAAAAGAAAUUUCUUUCCUCCGAUGAUUAAGGUUUUUUUUGGAAGAAUAUAUGUAGUGCAAGGUUUUUGGAGUAGUUCAUCUCCAAAUUUUCAACCUUAAAAUGUUUCAGUUUCUUUUUGAUAUUCUUGUGAAAACUUCUAAUAUACUUCUUGAGGCUAUCAUCAACGGAGACCUCUAAAGAGAUAGUACUCUUGCAGAAUAUGAAGGACAAUAGUAUAGUCUUGUGUAGAUUAUUCAUGCUUCUACCAAAGGUACUACUACCUAAUCUGUCAACUUUUCUCAUGGCCAAUUAGGUUAAAUAUUUUUGUGAUCAAGGCUUUAAAUUUUCCUCCAUAUUAGGUCAAAAACAUCAUUGUUUAUCAUGUAGGAAUUUCACUAGUAAGGACAAAAUUAAAAAGUUUCAAAUAGAUGAUAGCUACCUUUUGCAUGCUCAUGAAAAUAAGUUUCCAACUGAUCAAGCCAAUUGUCCAGUUCUCCAUGUAAAUAGAUCUAUCAUACACAUGU